rnacentral:rRNA from 1 species
AUUGAACGCUGGCGGCAGGCCUAACACAUGCAAGUCGAACGAGUGGCGGACGGGUGAGUAAUGUCUGGGAAACUGCCUGAUGGCGGGGGAUAACUCCUGGAAACGGUAGCUAAUACCACAUACCAUCAGAUGUGCCCAGAUGGGAUUGGCGAGGUGGUGGGGUACCGGCUCACCAAGGCGACGACCCAUAGCUGGUAUGAGAGGACGACCAGGCACACGGGAAAUGAGUAACGGUCCAGACGCCUACGGGAGGCAGCAGUGGGGAAUAUUGAACGAUGGGCGCAAGCCUGAUGCAGCCAUCCCGCGUGUAGGAAGAAGGCCUGCGGGUUGUAAAGUACUUUCAGCGGGGAGGCGUUACCCGCAGAAGAAGCACCGGCUAACGCCGUGCCAGCAGCCGCGGUAAUUC